rnacentral:misc_RNA from 1 species
GGAGCUCGUUGGCAUUCUAUACUACCACGGAAUGGUUGUCAAGAGCAGCUAGGUUCUAUAACCAUCAUUAUAGAUGUAAUCCAGAGCUGUGCCACUGAAGGAAUCAUUAGAGUGAUGAUAAACCAGACCUGAUCAAUUUCUUGUCCCAUGGGAGAGGCAUAUUUUUAUGGAUUGAAUAAGCACUGUUUGCAUGAAGCAGAUUUUGUGUGUUCAAUGAUUCCGCGCUUCCAUAGUCCUACCUCCAAUAACACUUUAGCACCAUGCCUUUGAAGUAUGUACAAUAUCUUCAACCAGAACCGCCUGCAACUUCUGCUGUACGCUGCCUCAUCAUCUCCAUGACAGCAGCUCUCCGCCGAGAAUCAGCCUGCUGCUGCAUCCUCCGCAAAUGUUCUUUCAAAUCUCUGCAUCGGGGAACAUGACAUUCAGAUACCUUGCAUGCACGAGCAUGCAAUUGAAGGAGAUACCACAUCUUCUUACAGAGAACACAACCUCCAGAAACUCGUAUUUUACACUGUAUACCAUGGCGGAAAAGCCCCUUAACUUUCCGACAGUUUGGAUAUUGACAAUGGGAAGAGCGGCACUGAGAUGCAUGCACCAAGAGGUCAAGCAUCUUCCUAAGCUGCAGAACUCGUUGUUGUCUAGCUUCUUUAUUCUGAGCAUCACGCUCAGCAAUGGA